CCACUGGUGCCUGGGCGUGACAACUAUUCAAUAUUAUUUACCAAAGUUGGGAUAAAAGUAUAUAAGAAUAUAUUUCUAUGUUUCCGUUGUUAUCAUUUAAAUUUUUAAAUUUAAGUUUAAAAUUUUUAAUUUUCAAAUCUAAAUUUAAAUUUUAAAUUUAACAUUUUAUAUUAUUUAAAAUUUAAAUUAUGUAAAUUCUGAGAUAUAAUCUUCAUUCUAAUCUCAUCCUAAUAUAAAUCCGAA
rnacentral:lncRNA from 1 species